GCAUAUCGCGAUUGUCUUCUUUUUGAAGCUAUUUUGCUUGUCUUUGUUUAAUAAUGUUUUGUAGAAAAAGAAGAGAUUUGAGGAACUAUAUGGUGUUGUGAGGCCUGAUGUUAUACAUGUUCAUCCACAAAAUGUGGUGAAGUGUAAAGGAUCUGGAUCCAGGUUGCCUUCUAAGAUAGAGGCGGCGAAGAAGGCAGCAGCUAAACCUCCUAGACGAUGUGGAAAAUGCCAUAAAAUGGUUAAUCAUGAUUCAAGGAACUGCGGCAAAGAGAAGAUUAAAAAACAGAAAUAAAUUAGUUGUUCAUAUCACUAUUGUUUAUGUUUAUUGGCAUACAUAAUUCCUUGUUUUGGAUAUUCCAUCGCAUUCUUGUUUCCAUGCUGGUAUGGAAGAAAAAUAAUCUCCUCUUAUGUUUAUGAAUGUUAUCUCAUUUUAUUUUCCA